rnacentral:piRNA from 1 species
UAUCCUUUAGUUGAAUAAGUUGUGCUUGACU